GUGAGAAUCUAGCUUCAAGUCGGGGACAACCACUGGAAACGGUGGCUAAUACCGGAUGUGCCGAAAGGUGAAUUAUUUAUUGCCUGAAGAUGAGCUCGCGUCUGAUUAGCUAGUUGGUGUGGUAAGAGCGCACCAAGGCGACGAUCAGUAGCUGGUCCCAGAGGAUGAUCAGCCACACUGGGACUGAGACACGGCCCAGACUCCUACGGGAGGCAGCAGUGGGGAAUUUUCCGCAAUGGGCGAAAGCCUGACGGAGCAAUACCGCGUGAGGGAGGAAGGCUCUUGGGUUGUAAACCUCUUUUCUCAGGGAAUAAAAAAAUGAAGGUACCUGAGGAAUAAGCAUCGGCUAACUCCGUGCCAGCAGCCGCGGUAAUACGGAGGAUGCAAGCGUUAUCCGGAAUGAUUGAGCGUAAAGCGUCCGCAGGUGGCACUGUAAGUCUGCUGUUAAAGAGCAAGGCUCAACCUUGUAAAGGCAGUGGAAACUACAGAGCUAGAGUACGUUCGGGGCAGAGGGAAUUCCUGGUGUAGCGGUGAAAUGCGUAGAGAUCAGGAAGAACACCGGUGGCGAAAGCGCUCUGCUAGGCCGUAACUGACACUGAGGGACGAAAGCUAGGGGAGCGAAUGGGAUUAGAUACCCCA
rnacentral:rRNA from 1 species